GAUGAAGAACGUAGCGAAAUGCGAUAAGUAAUGUGAAUUGCAGAAUUCAGUGAAUCAUCGAAUCUUUGAACGCAUCUUGCGCUCCUUGGUAUUCCGAGGAGCAUGCCUGUUUGAGUGUCAUUUGACUUCUCUCAACCGCAUCAGUCUGAUGUGGCUUGGAUAUUGGGGGUUUUAUUUGCAGGCUUGGUUUCUUUUUGUCUGCUCCCCUGAAAUACAUUAGUGGUGUCUUUUUUUGAGCUGCUGCUAUAGGUGUAAUAAAUAUCUAUGCCUUGUGCAGGUUGGCUUGCGCUGCUUCUAAAAACAAACUUGACAAAUUUGACCUCAAAUCAGGUAGGACUACCCGCUGAACUUAAGCAUAUCCAAUAAGCGGAGGA
rnacentral:misc_RNA from 1 species